rnacentral:rRNA from 1 species
CUACCUCCCUGGUGUCGUCUCGUCCCACCCACGAACGUUGGUAGUCGGCGGUAAGAAGUCGUACGGAGAGACUUCGAGGAAGGAACUACGAGUCGGACGGAACGCGACUCCUUUCGGNGACUAUACAUACGUAGACACUGGUACGUACGAAGCGGUGGANACAAGAGUAUAGACCUACGUGGUACNCCGCACAAUAAGNGUCUCUAACUGGUCGGUUCCGGUUCCUGGAACGUAUUAGGCGACGCAGACACACAAUAGCACCUCCGCGGUGGGAGACCGACCAGUAGGUAUAACAAGAAAGUAGUCGGAGGGGCCCCGCACAAGCGGUGGAGCAUGUGGUUUAAUUCGAAGCAACGCGAAGAACCCUACCAGGUCUUGACAUACUCGUGCUAUUCCUAGAGAUAGGAAGUUC